rnacentral:tRNA from 1 species
GCGGGCGUGAUGGAAUGGUAGACAUACGGGACUUAAAAUCCCGAGGGGGUAGCCCCGUGCGGGUUCGAGUCCCGCCGCCCGCACCA